rnacentral:lncRNA from 1 species
UGGAUUAGGAGAGAUUAGGAGAAUCAACAGAUCAUAGUACACUGACGCGGGGGGUGGGUGGAGCGGGGGGCGUCGUACCCCACUAUGGACACAAGAGGGCGCUGAAGUCCACGACAUAUGUCAACCUUGGACAGAAACCUUGGACAUUUCGUUACCGGCCCCUAUUUACACACUGCAAGUUCUGGGUCUGCGCAAGUAUUUAUGGACCGGAACAGUAAGACAACGACUGCAUGUCAUACGCACGACUUCUGUUUUAAGUCGGUGAGAUCAUGUAUCCCAUAGACCUUCCAGUUGUGAGUGACACAGAUCUCACAUUGGCAUCUGAACAGUACUUCUCUUCUCUGGAGCAAAUACCUCAUAAAACUAAAGAAUUCCAGUCUUCCACGACCAAUAAGACAACCAUAACAGUGAACACUGUAACGCGCUUGCAGCUGUUUGAAGAUGGUGGAGCUGACUGCACACUGCUGGUGCUUCACCCCUCCGGUGACCCAACACAAGGUCCGGAACCAGACUUGUGAUCCCCCAUCAGAUGUGAAAGACAAGCACUGAAGUGUCGUGUUUUACAACUCAGUCUUGGCUGUAUACCUGCAUGACAAGUGGUGGCCUGUGGAUGAUGUAUUACGAACCACAGUCGAAUCCAGAAGUGGCUUGUUAUCGGUAACAGAGCUUCUUUACAUCAGUGAUUAACAAAUUAUGCUUCUUAUUGUGUAGUAAAUUAACUGGCCUGAAAUGUGAAGGAGUAAAAGUACAAUAGAGGAGCCUGGAGUUAAAGUACAGUGUAACGGAACAUAGAAACUGGAUCAACUGGAGCCUCAAAACUAUGUGAAAGGCAACAGGAACAUGUGAAUGUCGUCUUUUUUUGGUAAAUAUAUGACUUGUGGGAACAGUUGGUCCUCCUAAAU